UUGCUUCUUCCUCUGUCACUACAGCUCAGCCUCCUCCACUGCACAUAGCACAGAGCACAUCUUUGCUAUGUGCAGGUUCUCAUUCUAGUGUUAGUGUCAGAAUUGUCUUCUGUGGUUCCUGAUAAUUCAUGGCUAUUGGUUCAACAACCAUGUCUAAUGUAUAUAGUAUAACUAAGGUUAGACAUUAGUAUGUUUAUAGUUAACAUAUUAUGUUAUAGACGAAUGUUCCCACCCAGAGAAACUCUCCAAACAUUUGAGUCCUGCCCCUCUUUAUCAUCUACCCUCCAGACUCAAGUACCCCCAUUCUCUUCCUUCUGCUUAUAGGCAUUGGUGAGAUAUGUAGCCAGGCCUUUUGAGGUACCUAUAGUCUCCAAGAUACUAUUAGAUGCCUUCUAGAAGACUAGAUACAGUAUAAACCCAAACAAAGUCAAAGCCAUGUCAAAAUGUCAGUAUCUUUUCUCCCAAAGGCAUAUUUUACUUAUCCCUACUACCCUCAACACAGCCGAGAAGCCGGGAGGAACAGGGUCUUACUACUUUCAGAGAAUUUUAAGUCUCAUUUUGCAAUUAUGUUGGAUUAUAGCACACACACACACACACACACAUACACUUAAAGUUCAUGCAAAAAUCAACUGUAUUUACUCCCACUAGUGAAAGGAUAUUUUCCUCAAUGUGAUAGUGAAGAAGAGAGCACAACCUGUUAUUUCUUGCAUGGCCAUACAGUUGGCAUGAUGUCAGUUACAGGACUCUGUUUAAGCUGUCCCAAUUCUUUGAUAUCUUUGUUAACAUCAGGUCUACUCUAUAGCCUAAACUGUAAACUACUUUAACCAACUACUUUCUGUCUUGGAACUCGGGCUUUUUUUUUUUUUUUAAACAUUAUCAGGGUAAAAUGAUAUUUUCACUGGUAAUGAUCAAUUAUGGGUAAAGCAGAGAUAGAGAUGAGCUUCCAUGGUGAAGCAGUCUUGUACAUUGAUAGGAAAAUGCUUUCACUUAAGGAACCUCCUGGGAAUUCUAGCAUAAGGAUAAGCCCAGCAUUUAAAGUCUUACACAGCAUGGUCUUUGCUGAACAGAAUGCUCACUAUCUGCAGAAAAAGUUUUUUGUCAUGGGCUGGGAGAGGCUUUGUAGGUAAGAGAGCUUGCUGCACAAGUGCGGCCAUGUAAGGCAAGGUCCCCAGCACCCAUAUAAACAGCCGAGUGUGAACUUCUGUCCUACUUACUCCAACACCACAAGUGAGCCUGAGACACGACGACAUCUGGAGCUUUCUGGUAAGCCAUCAUAGAGUGGGAGGAGGAACCACAACAACAAAAACCAGGGUGCUUCUGGUUCAGUGAGAAACCCUAACCCUAAAGCAGAGAGAAAUAGAGGACACAGCUUACUACAUGCACACACAUGUAAACAUACGAAUAUCACACACAAAAACACCACACACCAAUACAUAUAUAUGAAUACAUUAUAUACAUACAUACACUCACAUACACAUAUAUACAUAAACAUUUCUCUCUCUCUCUGUCUCUCUCUCCCCCCUCAAAUUAGGAUCUCCAUAAAAGAUUAAAUACAAGUAUCAUAGCUAGAUGAGUACAUCCAUACAUAAAUUUAAGUACAAGCUGGUAGCUGUUCUUAGUUCUUGGGUAAACUGUGUACCUGUGUAAUGUCAGGCAUGUGGAAUAGAUCCUGGCAUCAAAUCUUUCUCUAUACCUAUGGUCAUACCUGUAGGAGGGGUAUUAUGCUGUACAGAGAAUUCUGCUUUCUGCUCCCCGAGGGCUUUUGAAAACUUUUAAAAUGAAAUCUAUGAGAUGUUUUUACUUCCUCCUAUUCCAGGAGACUCAAUUUAUGAUCUUGUUUGUAGCAAGGAUCUUAAGACAAAUGAAUGAAAAACAUAACAGAUAUUAUCAGAUGAUACUAUUGGCCAGUUCUGGUUAGUGUAUAUUAAUUGCCAGUGAUAAUGGAGAGGAAUAACUUCCCAUAUUACAAGGGAAGAAUAAGAGUCUGUCUGCAGUUGUGACUCAGUGCAGACCAAGUGAUAUGUGUGGUACAGACAAUAAGGCAAACCAAAAAUGUGCAGAGCCACGGUUAAAUUAGUAACACAGUUAACACCAAUAGAGAAGUAUUUGGAAUUUUAAAAAGUGAUUCUUAUAAGUUAAUCUUAAGUCAAAUCAACUAUUUUGAAGCAAUCUCAGGAAUUAUAAAGCUCUCCCUGACUUGCAGGGCACUGUUCCUUAUGAUCCAAUUCAGACAAAUGCUUACAUUUCUACUUUUAAAGUCUUAAAUAUUUGCAACAAUUUUUGCUUAAGACAGAUAUCGGUGUAAGAAAUGAAGAAAGUUCAGAUAAACUGAACUCUCUAUGAAUAAAUAAACUUUAGUCUUACAAAAAGUAAGUUGGUAUAAUAAUUUUUACACUCUGCCCCCAAAAUAAGGAAAAGGGAUUUUGGCAUACUCAUUUCUAAGUGUUUACAGUGCCAGACAAGACUGCAGGUAUCAGUGGGAAACUGUACUGAGUACUUUGUUCAGGAAGGAAAACAUGUCAAUAAUUUGUAAAUGUUAGGGAAAGGGCUGUUUCUUGGUGGCUUUGCCAAGGAUCAAAGCCUGCUCUUUCGAUGAGGUUAUUCUGAAAGGCAGUGAAUAAUGGGUUAACACAAAUGGCAUGAUUUCCUGGUCAGAAAGUUUUUGUUGUGCUGUUGUUGUUUGUUUGUUUGUUUUCCAGUUGGGUUGUUGUUAAAGGACUCCACCCCAGUCUUUCGAAGGUCUAGGUUGCUGACCAGAUUCAGCUACUUAGAGGAAGUUUAGAAUGGAAGAGUUUCUUUUCCCGUUAGUGAAUCCCAAAUCACUUGGCAUUUCUACCCUACGAGAUACAGUGGAAACAGGUACAGCAGCCACACUGCAAAACUUCAGCUGUAUGUUGCUGGCAUUGUGAGCUUUGUACCGUACUCACUAAGUGUUUCAGAGAUGUAAGUGUAGGGUGUAAGAGUGUAUGUUUAUAAUAUAUUUCAAGAUUUAGGAAAUAUUUGAAUAUAACUAGUGAAAGUUCUCUUUUGAAAGAUAAAUAAUAAUGGGGGGCAAAUAAUCAACUGAGACUUAUAAUUUCUUUGUGUUUGGACUUUUUAAUCACUUUAUGAGCUUUUGGGUAUGUUGGUGGAUAUUGGAGACACUUUGUUUAAAGUCUUGGAGGUAUGUUGAAUAUCUUUCAUGGGAUCAAAUAAAACAGAAAACUGGCCUCAAGCCAAAAGAUUCUCUGAUUUCAAACCUCAGCUACUACAAAAUCAAUAAAAGAAUGCAACCAUUUUAUAUAAAUCCCACUCCUCUAGCUUCAGCCAAGGGUCUAAAGCUGAGUGCCACUUCCUGCAUGCCACAGAUGGUAGAAGAGAGAGGCAGCCGAAUUUAAAGUCACUCAGAAUAAGCUUUAUUUAACUUUAUUCCAAAGGCUCAAUUUGAUUG
rnacentral:lncRNA from 1 species